UACGUAGGGUGCGAGCGUUGUCCGGAAUUACUGGGCGUAAAGAGCUCGUAGGCGGCUUGUUGCGUCGACCGUGAAAACCCGGGGCUCAACUUCGGGCUUGCGGUCGAUACGGGCGGGCUAGAGUUCGGUAGGGGAGACUGGAAUUCCUGGUGUAGCGGUGAAAUGCGCAGAUAUCAGGAGGAACACCGGUGGCGAAGGCGGGUCUCUGGGCCGAUACUGACGCUGAGGAGCGAAAGCGUGGGGAGCGAACAGG
rnacentral:rRNA from 1 species